rnacentral:rRNA from 1 species
CCUACGGGUGGCAGCAGUGGGGAAUAUUGCACAAUGGGGGAAACCCUGAUGCAGCGACGCCGCGUGAGUGAAGAAGUAUCUAGGUAUGUAAAGCUCUAUCAGCAGGGAAGAAGCAAGACGGUACCUGACUAAGAAGCACCGGCUAACUACGUGCCAGCAGCCGAGGUAAUACGCAGGGGGCAAGCGUUAUCCGGAUUUACUGGGUGUAAAGGGAGCGUAGACGGCUAUGCAAGUCUGAAGUGAAAGCCCAGGGCUCAACCCUGGGACUGCAGUGGAAACUGUGGAGCUAGAGUGCUGGAGAGGUAAGUGGAAUUCGUAGUGUAGCGGUGAAAUGCGUAGAUAUUAGGAGGAACACCAGUGGCGAAGGCGGCUUACUGGAGAGGAACUGACGUUGAGGCUCGAAAGCGUGGGGAGCGAACAGGAUUAGAUACCCGUGUAGUC